ensembl:lncRNA
ACACAAAGCUCUGACUGUGCUGACUUGCACAUGCCCAGAGCAAUUAGGGUCUGUUGAAACCUCAGGGCCCAGUGAGAGGUCCUGGGUUAGGCAGAAGAGGUGACCCAAGUAUUCAUCUAUGAAAUGGCCAAGACAGAGUCAAGGCAGGAGUUUGUAAACCUGGAAACAGAGCCAGAAUUCGGGGUCUGACAUUGAACAGCUAUCAAAAGAAGUCAAGGUGCUAGUGAGACAUGUUUUUGCACCACUUGGAAGAAAAAGUAGAUAGCUCCCUGAAGCUCAGUUUCAUUGCCCGGCACAAAUGUCUUGAAGAAAUGGCAGCUUUUAGGAGUGAUGGAGAAAUGAAGUUGGGCAGAUUGUGCCAGAAGCACUGGUGAGCUGGUGACAUUACUGCUCAACUGGGAAGGUGAGGGCAUAAGGACAUCUCUGGACAGCAGCAAAGCCAGAUAUUUGUUUUAAAAAAAAUAAGACGCAAGGGAAUGUUGAAGAUUCUCAAAAGACUUUAAAGAAAAAAGCCCAAGCUCCUUGGCAUCGCCCACCCUUCCAGGCCAUCACUCCCUCCACCAAUGCUCCAUCGCCCAUGGACUGGCUCACACCACAGCGCUUACAUGUGGGACCAUUUGCUGCUCUUGGACACACCAGUACUUUCAAAUCCUGCUUGAGCAAUCCUUGGAUCUGAAUCCCGUUAGCCAUCUGUACAUGUCUUUAGUUGGUUUAUAGGUGUCUUUUCAACAGGAUUGAGUUCAGUACGUGUAGUGAUUCUUUUAUUCAUUUGCAUAUUAAUGGUGCUUAGCAAAUAUAGCUAGUAGUUACCAAUAAAUGGCUAAUAUAUGAAAUGAGUGAAUAGAGAAAUAAAUCAUAGGAUUUUAGAUUUGGAAGAAAUAUAAGGGAUUUUACUGUCCAAAUUUCAUGUUUCACAAAAGGAAAAUGAGACUCAAUGAGGCUAUGGUUUGGUCGAAUAUGCACAGAAUUUAGAAUAGUAGAGCUGCUAGUCCCAGAACAUGAUUAUCUCAGCUUUCCAUUCAGAGGCCUUUCUACCCUUUCAUUCCUGGCUAAUCUGGAAUUUUGUUGGAGGGACUGUGGUUCAUUUUCUAAAUAUUUGUGCUCUGAUACUCUUAAUAUCCUUGGGGACAUCAUUCACAGUUUAAAGAUGAUUGGAGGAAAGUACCGGUAACUUCAGGCAUUCAAACAGCUACAGAAGCACUCUGGCUUUUCAGCUGCCUCUCUGUUUAGUACUUUUGCUACAUGUUAACAUCCUGCUACAUGUUAUAGUAGCACCGUUGUGGCAAUUAUAUAGUACUUCUACCAUGGGUAUAGAUAUUCUAUAUCUGUAUUUGAUUUUUUAUUUUAAAGCUGUAGGAGUUUUUUUUUUAAAUUCUGGAUACAAGCCCUCUUUCAGAGAGAGGGAUGAAAUAUCUAUCUACCUAAAAUUUCCACCCAGAAAAUAAGGACAUAUUUUCAUUAUCUUCCUAGUACUUCUUGAAGAGUGAAAUAUUAAAUUGUGAUGAAGUCUAAUUUAUUCAUUUUUGAAAAUUGUGUGUUUAAUGCAUGUUGUGUCUCUAAGAAUCCUGUCUAGCCCCCAAAUCAUGAAGAUAUUAUUUGAUGUUCGCUUUGAGAAAUUUUAUAGAUUUUGCUUCAAAGUUUAGGACUAUUUUCAAUGGUGUGAGGUAGGACUUAAUUGCUAUUUCAUUUAUUCAUCUAAAUGCUGCGAUAUUAUUUAUUGAAAAGAUUUCCAUUCCCCAUUAGUAGGUUUGACAUUAUUCUUGAAGUCAGUUCAAUAAACACAGAUUGCUC